GUGACCAAGUCUCGCUCUGUCAUUCAGGCUGGAGUGCAGUGGUGCGAUCUUGGCUCACUGCCACCUCCAGCUCUCGGGUUCAAGUGAUUCUCCCACCUCAGCCUCCCGAGUAGCUGGGAUUACAGGCACACACCACCAUGCCUGGCUAAUUUUUUUAUUUUUAGUAGAGAUGGGGUUUCACCAUGUUGGCCAGGCUGGUCUCAAACUCCUGACCUCAAGUGAUCCACCUGCUUUGGCCUCCCAAAGUGCUGGGAAUACAGGUGUGAGCCACUGCGCCCGACCCACUUUUAGUUUCUUUCAGGAACUUUUCCUCUGCAUUCACAACUGGGCUACCUGCUUGGCGCUGAAGACCAGGCUUUCCGUUAGGGUAUCUUGGCUUUCGACAGGCCUUCCUAACUAAGCUUAGUCAUUUAUUUCCAGCUUUUGUUUUAAAGUGAGAGAUGUGUGACCCUCAACUCUUCCCUUCACUGGACUACUUAGAGGCCAUGGCAGGGUUGCUAGUUGGCCCAAUUUCAGUAUUGUUGUGUCUCAGGGAAUAGAGAGGCCCCAGGAGAGGGAGAGAAAUGGAGGAAUGGCCAGUUCCUGGGGCAGUCGGAACACACACAUUUAUCAAUUAAGUUCUUAGUUGGGGUAUGGCUCAUGAUGCCCAAAACAAUUACAAUAGUAGCAUCGAGGAGCAAUGACCACAGAUCGCCAUCACAGAUAGAAUCAUGGUUAAAAAGUUGGAAAUGUUGAGAGAAUUACCAAAACGUGACAGCAACACGUAGUGAGCACCUGCUGUUGGAAAAAUGGCACCGAUGGACUUGACUUGAUGCACGUUGCCACAAACCUUCAAUUUGUAAGAAACACAAUACCUGCAAAGCAUCAUCAAGCUAAGCAUGAUGCCCGUGUAGAUGUUUGGGAAAUAAUUGGCAUCUAAACCAAUCUUGGGUCCUCUCGUACAGGGAUUGGCAAACUGGCCCGCUGCCUGUUUUUGAUGACUCACGAGCUAAGAAUGGGUUUUACAUUUUUUAAUUGUUGAGAAAAAAAUCAAAGGCAGAAAACUUCAUGACACAUGAAGAUUAUAUGAAAUUCACAUUUCAGUGCUCAGAAAUAAAGUGUUAUGGGAACACGGCCGCACUAAUGGGAGGGAUUCCAGUUAUUAUGUGGCUGCUUUGAGCUACCGUGGUGGGGUUGAAUAUUUGUGAUAGGGACAGGAAAAACUUAACUUUUUCCCAGUCUCACACGUUCAACACAGAACACUUCACCUCUGGUCCCUGGAAUGUGUGUGGGGUUUCUCCCUACCAGCAGCCAGUCGGUUAUCCAGUGAUUUAACCCAAUUUUGACACUGCUUACCUGGAGAGAAUAUUAGGUUCUGCAGCUGAAGGGCUGAGUCCCACAAGACUGUCCUCACUUCUCCUGCCUCAGCCUCCCGAGUAGCUGGGAUUACAGGCGCCCACCACCACGCACAGUUAAUUUUUGUAUUUUUAGUAGAGACCAGGUUUCACCAUAUUGGCCAGGCUGGUCUCAAACUCCUGACCUCAGGUGAUCCACCCACCUUGGCCUCCCAAACUGCUGGGAUUUACAGGCAUGAGCCACUGUGCCCAGCCUACAAGCUGGUUAUUAACAAGACCAAUAAACUGAAAUCUAUAGCCAGACUGACAAAGAAAUAGAAGCCACAAGUAACCAACAUCAGGAACAACAGAUGGGACAUCACUACAGAUCCUACUGACACGAGAAAUGUGUGGCACAGAAAAGGGCUUGGUUGGACAAAUUUACAAGGGUUGUUAAACAUACAAAGUGCCAAAAGCCUAUAGUUAUUCAUUCUAUUACUUGUUGGCAGGUAAAUAUUUUGUGGAAAGUAUUUGUUUAUUUUUAUUUUUACUUUUUGAGGUGGAGUCUCGCCCUGUUGCCCAGGCAGCAGUGCAGUGGCGCAGUCUCGGCUCACUACAACCUCUGCCUCCCGGGCCCGAGUGAUUCUCCUGCUUCAGCCUCCCAAGUAGCUGGGACUAAAGGCAUGCACCACCACACCUGGCUAUUUUUUGUAUCUUUAGUAGAGAUGGGGUUUCACCAUGUUGGGCAGGCUGGUCUCAAACUCCUGACCUCAGGUGAUCCGCCCACCUCAGCCUCCCAAAGUGCUGGGAUUACAGGCGUGAGGCACUACACCCGGCCUGUGGAAAGUAUUUGAGUCUGUCAUGCCUUAUUGAACCAGUAGUGUCAACAGUGAACUUCAUUUGACCUUGUGGACUUGAUGUCAUCAGUUCUGUGAAUUAAAAAAAAACCUUUUUUAAAGAGAUAGAGUCUUGCUUUAUUGCCCAGGCUAGAGAGCAGUGGCACAGUCCUGGCCCACUGCAGCCUCAAUUUCCUGGGCUCAGGUGUGAGCCCCUGUGCCUGGCCUAAAGCUGAACAUCUUGACUUGCUGUCCUGUGCAGCAGCUUGAUGAGUUGGCAGUGGUGAAGUUCUAUUGCUUUUUUAUUUUUAUUUUUUAUUUAUUUAUUUAUUUUUGAGACGGAGUCUUGCUCUGUCACCCAGGCUGGAGUGCAGUGGCGUGAUCUCGGCUCACCGCAACCUCUGCCUCCUGGGUUCAAGCAAUUAUCCUGCCUCAGCCUCCCAAGUAGCUGGGAUUACAGGCACAUGCCACCAUGCCCGGCUAAUUUUUGUAUUUUUAGUGGAGAUGAGGUUUCACCAUGUUGGCCAGGCUGGUCUCAAACUCCUGACCUCAUGAUCCACCUGCCUCGGCCUCCCAAAGUGCUGGGAUUACAGGCGUGAGCCACCGUGUCUGGCCUGCUUUUUGAAAAAGCGCCGAAAUUGGAAAAUUUCAGAAUGAGAAGAACCACUGUUGACUGCCAUCAUCAAUACACCAGAUGACUUGGGAAACUAGUUUUUGCUGCAUGAUGUUCUCUACGUUCUUUAUGAAUUCAUCUUAAAGUUACGAGGCACAACCACAUUUAUUUGCAAAAUUUAUACUGUGAUGAAGUCACUUUGGCAACAGCUCAUGUUUAAAUCACAAACUGCUUUGUACAGUUUUCUUAUUGUCAAGAGGUAAAAUGAGAGGCAAAGUCUGCAUUGCCACACAGAUUUGCAGUGAGCUGCUUUUCUGGGCUCACACUGUGGUUACAGCAGAGUGUCUGCGACUUCCAUGCGAGUGCAAGGGAAACGUCGACAUUUCAAAAUCCACUCAGCUGUGUGUUAGGGAGCUCCCGCCUGAGCUUCAGUCGAAAGCGAUUGGACUGUAGCGUAACCCCGUGCUGUAAUAUAGGGGCCCCAAGACCACCCUCGGGUUCAGUAAUUCACUAGGACUCAUGGAAUACAGCAGAGCAUUUCUGCCAGGGGUACGGUUGAUUACAGCAAAAGGACGCAGACUCAAAUCAGCAAAGGGAAGCGGCACAGGGGCCGGGCUCAGGAGAGACCAGGGGGACGCUCCCGUGAGCCUUGGUGGUCCAGGUGUUUUUAGAGGUUGGUCAGGUGGGCCUGGCUGAGCACCGGUGUGGCUGCCCUCGGUCCCUCCGUCUCAGCCCCUCCAGAGGUCAGGCUGAUGCCACAAGGCACCGCGGUACGUCACUGUCAGGGUAGCCUCUCUGAGGUGGCCUGAGGCCCUGGGUGAGCAGACGCUGUUGGCAGGCAGGAUGCUCCAAGAGCUCCGAGGUGACCUCCUAGGAGCAGGUCAAGGGUCAGACCUCUCUGGAAGGAAGAAUGCGGGCAAUCCAAGCCUGCUGAGCUGGCCCUUUCCAGGAAAGGGAGUAGCGAGGCUGCUCACUUAGAGCCACGCACCUGGGGCUGACAGUGUGCCUGGCAGUACCUGUGUGGAAAGACAGUUACAGAGGAAACACAUGAACUCACUAUAAGCCAGCACUAAUGGAUGCACCUUUGUUGUUGAUUUUGGUGAUAAAGAACAUUAAAUUUGAACCCAGUGAAGCAAUAUGUCAUCUCCCAAAACAAGUCCUCUCAUGAGUGCAUCUGUAUUAUAGAAAGCUGCACUCAGCUUUUUAAAAAAAUUUUUUUAGAUGGGGUCUUGCUCUGUCACCAGGCUGGAGUGCAGUGGCACAAUCUCGGCUCACUGCAAGCUCCGCCUCCCAGGUUCAAGCGAUUCCCCUGCCUCAGCCUCCCACGUAGCUGGGACUACAGGUGCGUGCCACCACACCUGGCUAAUUUUUUGUAUUUCAGUAGAGACAGGCUUUCACCAUGUUGGCCAGGAUGGUCUCGAUCUCCUGAAGUGAUCUGCCCGCCUCCUGAAGUGCUGGCAUUACAGGUGUGAGCCACUGCGCCUGGCCCAGUUAUUUUGAUUUCAUCAGUAUGAAAUGUGUAGAAAUUGUUACAUUAGUCCCUAUGUAAUAUCCUUGGUGUGGCCUCUUGGCCUGCACAGCCUGGAGUAUUGACUAUCUGGACCUUUAUAGGAAGCUCACCAACAUGUAUUUUAACCCUUGACACCUUAUCUGUUACCAUUUAUUUAGAUCUUUGCUGAUUUUUCUCACCAG
rnacentral:lncRNA from 1 species